rnacentral:rRNA from 1 species
UAGAGCCUACGGGGGGCAGCAGUGAGGAAUAUUGGUCAAUGGGCGGAAGCCUGAACCAGCCAAGUCGCGUGAGGGAAUAAGGCCCUACGGGUCGUAAACCUCUUUUGCCGGGGAGCAAGGGCCGGGACGAGUCCCGGUCCGGAGAGUACCCGGAGAAAAAGCAUCGGCUAACUCCGUGCCAGCAGCCGCGGUAAUAAGGAGGAUGCGAGCGUUAUCCGGAUUUAUUGGGUU